CCCAAAUAAAACUUUUUUAUUUGCUGGGUUGGAGCUGCUUUGGCCGAUGGAGUAAAAGGCGAAAUGCUUAUAUUUUUCCCUUGUCCCUCCUACGCGUUUCG